rnacentral:rRNA from 1 species
GGUUAAGUGACUAAGCGUACACGGUGGAUGCCUAGGCAGUCAGAGGCGAUGAAGGACGUGCUAAUCUGCGAUAAGCGUCGGUGAGCUGAUAUGAAGCGUUAUUAGCCGGCGAUGUCCGAAUGGGGAAACCCAGUGCAAUCCGUUGCACUAUCGUUAAGUGAAUACAUAGCUUAACGAGGCGAACCAGGGGAACUGAAACAUCUAAGUACCCUGAGGAAAAGAAAUCAACCGAGAUUCCCCUAGUAGCGGCGAGCGAACGGGGAAGAGCCCAGAACCUGAAUCAGUUUGUGCAUUAGUGGAAGCGUCUGGAAAGUCGCGCGAUACAGGGUGAUAGCCCCGUACACGAAGGUGCACAGCUGUGAGUUCGAUGAGUAGGGCGGGACACGUGUUAUCCUGUCUGAAUAUGGGGGGACCAUCCUCCAAGGCUAAAUACUCCUGACUGACCGAUAGUGAACCAGUACCGUGAGGGAAAGGCGAAAAGAACCCCGGCGAGGGGAGUGAAAUAGAACCUGAAACCGUGUACGUACAAGCAGUGGGAGCAUCCUUCGGGGUGUGACUGCGUACCUUUUGUAUAAUGGGUCAGCGACUUAUAUUUUGUAGCAAGGUUAACCGAAUAGGGGAGCCGUAGGGAAACCGAGUCUUAACUGGGCGUCUAGUUGCAAGGUAUAGACCCGAAACCCGGUGAUCUAGCCAUGGGCAGGUUGAAGGUUGGGUAACACUAACUGGAGGACCGAACCGACUAAUGUUGAAAAAUUAGCGGAUGACUUGUGGCUGGGGGUGAAAGGCCAAUCAAACCGGGAGAUAGCUGGUUCUCCCCGAAAGCUAUUUAGGUAGCGCCUCGUGAACUCAUCUUCGGGGGUAGAGCACUGUUUCGGCUAGGGGGUCAUCCCGACUUACCAACCCGAUGCAAACUACGAAUACCGAAGAAUGUUAUCACGGGAGACACACGGCGGGUGCUAACGUCCGUCGUGAAGAGGGAAACAACCCAGACCGCCAGCUAAGGUCCCAAAGUCAUGGUUAAGUGGGAAACGAUGUGGGAAGGCAUAGACAGCCAGGAUGUUGGCUUAGAAGCAGCCAUCAUUUAAAGAAAGCGUAAUAGCUCACUGGUCGAGUCGGCCUGCGCGGAAGAUGUAACGGGGCUAAACCAUGCACCGAAGCUGCGGCAGCGACGCUUAGGCGUUGUUGGGUAGGGGAGCGUUCUGUAAGCCUGCGAAGGUGGCCUGUGAGGGCUGCUGGAGGUAUCAGAAGUGCGAAUGCUGACAUAAGUAACGAUAAAGCGGGUGAAAAGCCCGCUCGCCGGAAGACCAAGGGUUCCUGUCCAACGUUAAUCGGGGCAGGGUAAGUCGACCCCUAAGGCGAGGCUGAAAAGCGUAGUCGAUGGGAAACAGGUUAAUAUUCCUGUACUUGGUGUUAUUGCGAAGGGGGACGGAGAAGGCUAGACCGGCCGGGCGACGGUUGUCCCGGUUUAAGCGUGUAGGUGGGGUAACUUGGCAAAUCCGGUUACCUUUAACACUGAGGCGUGAUGACGAGGCACUACGGUGCUGAAGUGGUUAAUGCCCUGCUUCCAGGAAAAGCCUCUAAGCUCCAGAUAACACUGAAUCGUACCCCAAACCGACACAGGUGGUCAGGUAGAGAAUACCAAGGCGCUUGAGAGAACUCGGGUGAAGGAACUAGGCAAAAUGGUGCCGUAACUUCGGGAGAAGGCACGCUGGCACGUAGGUGAAGUCCCUUGCGGAUGGAGCCGAAGCCAGUCGAAGAUACCAGCUGGCUGCAACUGUUUAAUAAAAACACAGCACUCUGCAAACACGAAAGUGGACGUAUAGGGUGUGACGCCUGCCCGGUGCUGGAAGGUUAAUUGAUGGGGUCAGCCGCAAGGCGAAGCUCUUGAUCGAAGCCCCAGUAAACGGCGGCCGUAACUAUAACGGUCCUAAGGUAGCGAAAUUCCUUGUCGGGUAAGUUCCGACCUGCACGAAUGGCGUAAUGAUGGCCAGGCUGUCUCCACCCGAGACUCAGUGAAAUUGAACUCGCUGUGAAGAUGCAGUGUACCCGCGGCAAGACGGAAAGACCCCGUGAACCUUUACUAUAGCUUGACACUGAACAUUGAACCUUGAUGUGUAGGAUAGGUGGGAGGCUUUGAAGUGUGGACGCCAGUCUGCAUGGAGCCGACCUUGAAAUACCACCCCUUUAAUGUUUGAUGUUCUAACCUGGUCCCGUGAUCCGGGAUAGGGACAGUGUCUGGUGGGUAGUUUGACUGGGGCGGUCUCCUCCCAAAGAGUAACGGAGGAGCACGAAGGUUAGCUAAUCCUGGUCGGACAUCAGGAGGUUAGUGCAAAGGCAUAAGCUAGCUUGACUGCGAGAGUGACGGCUCGAGCAGGUGCGAAAGCAGGUCUUAGUGAUCCGGUGGUUCUGAAUGGAAGGGCCAUCGCUCAACGGAUAAAAGGUACUCCGGGGAUAACAGGCUGAUACCGCCCAAGAGUUCAUAUCGACGGCGGUGUUUGGCACCUCGAUGUCGGCUCAUCACAUCCUGGGGCUGAAGUAGGUCCCAAGGGUAUGGCUGUUCGCCAUUUAAAGUGGUACGCGAGCUGGGUUUAGAACGUCGUGAGACAGUUCGGUCCCUAUCUGCCGUGGGCGUUGGAAGAUUGAGAGGGGCUGCUCCUAGUACGAGAGGACCGGAGUGGACGCACCGCUGGUGUUCGGGUUGUGAUGCCAAUUGCAUUGCCCGGUAGCUACGUGCGGAAAAGAUAAGCGCUGAAAGCAUCUAAGCGCGAAACUUGCCUCGAGAUGAGUCUUCCCUUGGACCUUGAGUCCACUGAAGGAACGUUUAAGACUAAGACGUUGAUAGGCUGGGUGUGUAAGCGUAGCGAUACGUUGAGCUAACCAGUACUAAUGAUCCGUGAGACUUAACCUU